CGUCAACACCUACGGAGACAUCAAGAUUACGAUUUCCAGUCCUUCAUGAUGGCCAUGAAACUAAGAACAACUGCAAUAAUCAUCAUGGCUUUGGUGUGGCUGCAAGCAGCAGUUGUUGACGGGUGCACUAAAAACGAUCAUGCGUGUGACACUCGCUUUAAAGUGUGUUGCUCGAAUUCGGAAUGCGUGAUAAUUCCUGGUGAGGGUUCUAGAUGCAAGGACGUAGGGGACAUCUGCUGGAAAGGGCCUGGAGGUGUCAAGAUAUGUUACCCGCCUGCAGGUUAUUGAUAGGAGAUAAUCAAACAGCGGCUUGAAUUGAUGAGGACUUCAAAGUGUUUCAGGGAUACAAGCUGUCACGACACCAGUUAAAUGUCAAGUGGAUUGUCCCAAAAAUAUCUCAACCUGUAAUUAUUGUUCUACUGACGAUUGAUCAGUAAACUGAAAGUUAAUCUUU
rnacentral:lncRNA from 1 species